AUAAGAGGUGGCACCUUCUCGCACAAGCAGCCAACUCUCCCUGCUUGGAUUCCACGCACUCUUCCCCUCUGUGUCCUGGGCAUACCCAACCUGUUGUACCUCUGAGAGUCAGAGAUCAGGGAACAGGAUCACCACAUGUGUAGAAGUGUUCCAGUCUUGGGGCUUGGAUGCUAAUGAGCAAGAUGUGGAAAGAUGCAGUCAUGGAAGUCAAGGGUAUAUGUCUUUGUUUUCCUUUUCAGAAAUGCAAGUGGCAGGAUCAUUGUCUUAGAAUGCAUUUAGCAUUUGUCACUCUAUACAGUUUAUGGGUUAAAUUAAUAUUGUGCUUAAAUAAAAAUGACACAUUGCUGAAUAUGCAGCUGUUAAUUAACAUAGCACAUAUGACUAUGUUUGAGGGGAAUUGCUAUGUUUUUAGGAACAAAAGCA